GCCAAUGUGGCAUAGUGGCUUGAGUGCUGGACUACAACUCUGGAGACCUGGGUUCAAAUCCCCACUUGGCCA